rnacentral:rRNA from 1 species
ACCGGCGCACGGGUGAGUAACACGUAUGCAACCUGCCCGUGGCAGGGGGAUAAGCGGGGGAAACCCCGUCUAAUACCGCGUAACGCGGCCUAGGGACAUCCCUUUCCGGCCAAAGGGGGCGACUCCGGUCACGGAUGGGCAUGCGGCGCAUUAGGUAGUUGGUGGGGCAACGGCCCACCAAGCCGACGAUGCGUAGGGGUUCUGAGAGGAAGGUCCCCCACACUGGCACUGAGACACGGACCAGACUCCUACGGGAGGCAGCAGUGAGGAAUAUUGGUCAAUGGGCGGGAGCCUGAACCAGCCAAGUCGCGUGAGGGAAGACGGUCCUAUGGAUUGUAAACCUCUUUUGUCGGGGAGCAAAAGACGCCACGCGUGGCGUUCCGAGAGUACCCGAAGAAAAAGCAUCGGCUAACUCCGUGCCAGCAGCCGCGGUAAUACGGAGGAUGCGAGCGUUAUCCGGAUUUAUUGGGUUUAAAGGGUGCGCAGGCGGAAGAUCAAGUCAGCGGUAAAAUUGAGAGGCUCAACCUCUUCGAGCCGUUGAAACUGGUUUUCUUGAGUGAGUGAGAAGUAUGCGGAAUGCGUGGUGUACCGUUGAAAUGCAUAGAUAUCACGCAAAACUCCNUUGCGAAGGCAGCAUACCGGCGCUCAACUGACGCUNAUGCACNAAAGUGUGGUUNUCGANAGGAUNAAAUACCCUGGUA